rnacentral:tRNA from 1 species
AUUUAAAUAGCUUAAAAUUAAAGCAUAACAUUGAAGAUGUUAAAAUGAUUAUUAAUAUCUUUAAAUA